rnacentral:rRNA from 1 species
UACGUAGGGCGCGAGCGUUGUCCGGAAUCAUUGGGCGUAAAGAGCUCGUAGGCGGCCUGUCGCGUCUGCUGUGAAAUCCCGGGGCUUAACCCCGGGCGUGCAGUGGAUACGGGCUGGCUGGAGGCAGGCAGGGGAGAACGGAAUUCCCGGUGUAGCGGUGAAAUGCGCAGAUAUCGGGAGGAACACCGGUGGCGAAGGCGGUUCUCUGGGCCUGUACUGACGCUGAGGAGCGAAAGCGUGGGGGAGCGAACAGG